GAUGAACGCUAGCUACAGGCUUAACACAUGCAAGUCGAGGGACCGGCGCACGGGGGAAUAAAACGUAUCCAACCUGCCCUUUACUCGAGGAUAGCCUUUCGAAAGAAAGAUUAAUACCCGAUGUAAAGGAUGGAGAUGCGUUCCAUUAGGUUGUUGGGGAGGUAACGGCUCACCAAGCCAUCGAUGGAUAGUGGUUCUGAGAGGAAGGUGCCCCACAUUGGAACUGAGACACGGUCCAAACUCCUACGGGAGGCAGCAGUGAGGAAUAUUGGUAAAUGGGCGGGAGCCUGAACCAGCCAAGUAGCGUGAAGGAUGAAGGCGUAUGGGUCGUAAAGGUCUUUUAGAUAAGAACAUGUAUUAUAUGAAUAAGGAUCAGCUAACUCCGUGCCAGCAGCCGCGGUAAUAC
rnacentral:rRNA from 1 species